rnacentral:rRNA from 1 species
GACGAACGCUGGCGGCGUGCCUAAUACAUGCAAGUCGAGCGCAGGAAACUGACGGAACUCUUCGGAGGGAAGGCAGUGGAAUGAGCGGCGGACGGGUGAGUAACACGUAAGGAACCUGCCUCAAGGAUUGGGAUAACUCCGAGAAAUCGGAGCUAAUACCGGAUAGUUCAACGGACCGCAUGGUCCGCUGAUGAAAGGCGCUCCGGCGUCACCUUGAGAUGGCCUUGCGGUGCAUUAGCUAGUUGGUGGGGUAACGGCCCACCAAGGCGACGGUGCAUAGCCGACCUGGGAGGGUGUUCGGCCAAACUGGGACUGAGACACGGCCCAGACUCCUACGGGAGGCAGCAGUAGGGAAUCUUCCACAAUGGACGAAAGUCUGAUGGAGCAACGCCGCGUGAGUGAUGAAGGUUUUCGGAUCGUAAAACUCUGUUGUAAGGGAAGAACACGUACGAGAGGGAAUGCUCGUACCUUGACGGUACCUUACGAGAAAGCCACGGCUAACUACGUGCCAGCCGCCGCAGUAAUAC